rfam:Caenorhabditis briggsae complete genome, chrI
GCCCCGGUGGCCGAGUGGUCGAAGGCGUGAGACUUAUGUUCUCAUUGGCAUUGGCAACCGAUCGCGGGUUCGAAUCCCGUCCGGGGCA